rnacentral:misc_RNA from 1 species
GAAAUGCGAUAAUUAAUGUGAAUUGCAGAAUUCAGUGAAUCAUCGAGUCUUUGAACGCACAUUGCGCCCCCUGGUAUUCCGGGGGGCAUGCCUGUCCGAGCGUCAUUGCUGCACUCAAGCACGGCUUGUGUGUUGGGCUUCCGUCCCUGGCAACGGGGACGGGCCCAAAAGGCAGUGGCGGCACCAUGUCUGGUCCUCGAGCGUAUGGGGCUUUGUCACCCGCUCCCGUAGGUCCAGCUGGCAGCUAGCCUCGCAACCAAUCUUUUUAACCAGGUUGACCUCAGAUCAGGUAGGGAUACCCGCUGAACUUAAGC